CUUCUCUACUGUGCUGGUGAGAGGGACAGAAGUCAACACGGACCGAGGCAGGCAGUGCACAUUCAGUAAUCAUCUGGCUCAUUGGUACAUGUCAGCCUGUACCUCUGACGGGCCAGACCUGGGCUCUGAGGACACCAAGACACAAAAGACUUGGCCUUAGCUACCUGGAGCACUCAACUGUCAUGCCAGACAUGGCUAAAGAGGUGAUGGCAGUGCUGGCCUCGGGGGUUUCAAGAGGACGGAAUGAAGGAUCCCUGCUGUGUGCUGAACAUAGUGCCUAGUCAUUAUCAGCCCUUGUCACAGCUUCCCUGGCACACUGAAGGACAGGCUUACAGGACACAAACUACAGCUCAAGGGGACUGUGUUGUCUUCACAGUGCUUUUUCCUUUGGGAAGUUAAGUUUGCUCAAUGAUGGAAAAUUUUAAAUAAAGAAUAGAAAAAAAUAAAAUUUCUUAUUGAA